UCUGGGAUUAGAUACCCUGUUAUUUAAAAUGUAAAUUAUUUAUUAAGGUAGUAAUAGUUAUGUUCUUGAAACUUAAAAAAUUUGGCGGUAUUUUAGUCUAUUCAGAGGAGCCUGUUCUGUAAUUGAUAAUCCACGUUGGACCUUACUUAAAUUUGUUUUCAAUUUAUAUACCGUUGUUAUUUAAAUAUUUUUAAGAAAAAUAAUGUUUAAUAAUUUUUAUUAAAAUUUAUAUCAAAUCAAGGUGUAGUUUAUAUUUAAGUAGAAAUGGGCUACAAUAAAAUUAUUUAUUGGAUAUAAAUAUGAAAAAUUUAUUGAAAUUGGAUUUGAUUGUAAAAUUAUAAAGAUUAAUAAUUUGAUUUUAGCUCUAAAAUAUGUACAAAUCGCCCG
rnacentral:rRNA from 2 species